CCUACCCCUAGAGGUAUUGCAGGUGUGGCUGGUGUGUCACAUGUGCACCAGUAGAUGGCAGAGAGGAGAGAGGCUAUGUCUAUGUUCAUUGUUGUGACCUGUGGACAUCUGAAUGAUUAGUAGCCAGCCUAA